rnacentral:tRNA from 1 species
CAGAUAUUAGUUUAUUAAAAUUUUAAUUUUGGAGAUUAAAGAUAAGAAUUUUCUUAUAUCUGA